rnacentral:rRNA from 1 species
CUUACAUGCCCAGGGGACGUGGAUAACCUCGGGAAACUGUUUUUAAACCGCGAUAGGUCAAGAUUUCUGGAAUGGAUCGUGUCUUAAAUCUACAUGGCCCCUGGAUUGUACCGCGGCCGAUCAGGCUGUUGUUGAGGUAAUGGCCCACCAAACCUAUAACCGGUACGGGCUCUGAGAGGAGAAGCCCGGAGAUGGGCACUGAGACAAGGGCCCAGGCCCUAUGGGGCGCAGCAGGCGCGAAACCUCUGCAAUGGGCGAAAGCCUGACAGGGUUACUCUGAGUGAUUUCCGCUAAGGAGAUCUUUUGGCAGCUCUAAAAAUGGUGCAGAAUAAGGGGUGGGCAAGUCUGGUGUCAGCCGCCGCGGUAAUACCAGCACCCCGAGUGGUCGGGACGAUUAUUGGGCCUAAAGCAUCCGUAGCCGGUCGUGCAAGUCCUCCGUUAAAUCCAGCCGCUCAACGGAUGGGCUGCGGAGGAUACUACAGGACUAGGAGGCGGGAGAGGCAAGCGGUACUUAGUGGGUAGGGGUAAAAUCCUUUGAUCCAUUGAAGA